CAGAGGGUGCAAACGUUGCUCGGAAUCACUGGGCGUAAAGGGCGUGUAGGCGGAUAGAUAAGUCGGGCGUGAAAUCCCCAGGCUCAACCUGGGAACUGCACUCGAAACUGUUUAUCUUGAGUGCCGGAGAGGAAAGCGGAAUUCCUGGUGUAGAGGUGAAAUUCGUAGAUAUCAGGAGGAACACCAGUGGCGAAGGCGGCUUUCUGGACGGUAACUGACGCUGAGACGCGAAAGCGUGGGGAGCAAACAGGAUUAGAUACCCUGGUAGUCCACGCCGUAAACGAUGAGUGCUAGGUGUCGUGGGUAUUGACCCCCGCGGUGCCGAAGCUAACGCAUUAAGCACUCCGCCUGGGAAGUACGGUCGCAAGACUA
rnacentral:rRNA from 1 species